rnacentral:rRNA from 1 species
ACGAACGCUGGCGGCGUGCCUAAUACAUGCAAGUAGAACGCACAGUUUAUACCGUAGCUUGCUACACCAUAGACUGUGAGUUGCGAACGGGUGAGUAACGCGUAGGUAACCUGCCUGGUAGCGGGGGAUAACUAUUGGAAGCGAUAGCUAAUACCGCAUAAUAUUAAUUAUUGCAUGAUAAUUAAUUGAAAGGUGCAAUUGCACCACUACCAGAUGGACCUGCGUUGUAUUAGCUAGUAGGUGAGGUAACGGCUCACCUAGGCGACGAUACAUAGCCGACCUGAGAGGGUGAUCGGCCACACUGGGACUGAGACACGGCCCAGACUCCUACGGGAGGCAGCAGUAGGGAAUCUUCGGCAAUGGACGAAAGUCUGACCGAGCAACGCCGCGUGAGUGAAGAAGGUUUUCGGAUCGUAAAGCUCUGCUGUAAGAGAAGAACGGGUGUGAGAGUGGAAAGUUCACACUGUGACGGUAUCUUACCAGAAAGGGACGGCUAACUACGUG